rfam:Proteiniphilum saccharofermentans isolate M3/6 genome assembly, chromosome: I
AUGUUUUUUCGGAAGCACGGAGUAAAGCUUGCCGUGAGAAGUCAGCCGAAGCCAUAGUAGUACGGAUACAAGCCCGCCCCGGAUUGAAGAUGGUACAGCGGGAAGUCUUACGAAGUAUGAAGGGC